CUGAAUAAACUGUGACGGCCUGAGGCUGCUGCCGCUCUCUGCUGACUCAGAGGUUAUGAAAUGUUUCCAGCUGCCAGAGCUCAGAGCUCAGAGGCUGCUGGGAAAAAAAAACAAAGAACUGUUCCAGGUUUGAUCAAAACUAUAAACAGUUUAAUUCAGAGGAAGAAACCGCAGCUGCCUGAGGCGACUGUCUGUUUACAUGAAGUCAAAGACGCUGAUUUAACACUUCAGUUCAGAGUUCAGCUCAUUUUUCAGGAUAAUACUGGAUUUGAUUUUCAUUUCCUGUGAAGACGAUCAGAGACGUGAAAUCAAAUGCAGCUCAACGUCAGAAACCAGCUGUUUUCUGCUUCGUCACUAAACACACAGACACUGAACGCCUUGUGUCAGUCCUGGCUGAAGGUUUCUGCAGGUCCAGAUGAUGGAAGCUGUUUCACCAGGACUCAGUGACAAACAAGUCAAAACCUGAGUCCUGGACCGUGAACAAGGACCUGAGGUCAUGGAGGUGACUUCAGGUGUAGCUCUGGGUUUUCAGGAUUUAGGACGUUGCGGUAACUGAACGAACCUGCAGGUGUCAGUGUUGACGACGUGAUGACCAGUGCCUGACGCUCAGAGAAGAUAUUCUGGAUCUGUUGAACUUGCCUCUGCACCAGUAAAAUCUGCUUCAUGUAAAAGUCUGAACACAGGAUCUCUGAGGACAUGAUCCUGACUCUGAGCUCUGCAGACAGCUGCUUCCUCCUCAUGUCCUGGUCUUUACUGUUCCCUCCGGUGUGGAACAUUUACAGGAAAUCUAAUCUACAACAUGUUUUUAUCAGAGCGUAAUCAGCUCAAACUGAUCAUCGUUCUCUCAGAAUGAACAGUUUACAUCUACACAGGAGCAGCUCCUCCUUCACAGAGUCCACCAUGUUUCUACAGAAUGGACAAACUGAACUGUGGCUCUGUACAGGAGCUGUUCAUGUCUUAACGUUCACUUAAUAAAACAUAAACCAGCUCAAUAACAAAGAAAACUUUUUCCUGACAGAGUAGUUGAUGUGGAGGUUGACUCCAUAAUGUCCCCUGACAGCCUCUCUGACGCUCAGAGAGGGAGAGUUCAGGGGACAGGUGUUCAGUCAGCUGCAGUCUGAGAUCUCACCACUAGAUGUCAAUAAAUCCUACACACUGCUGCUUUAACAAGACAUUUAAUGUUUAAUUAUUCGUGAUGUUUAACAGCUGGAAACGUCACCAACACCCAGAAAUCCACAAAAACUAAACGUGUGUAAACAAAGAGUGAAUUUUAUUUGUCUCAGGGAGAAAAAAAACAGCUGGAGGUUAAAGUUCAGAGGCUACAGCAGAAUACACACCAGAGGAAAAAAGAAGAGGAGGAGAGGGGGAUUGUGGGUAAUAAGUGAUGCACUAACGUCAGCGUGCCGACACACACACACACACACACACACACACACACACACAA